AAAGACACAUACAUGACGCUGUUAACUAUCAGCAGGACAAAAAUACGACAAAGAAUUUUAUGGAGAAAAGACUGUACAAAAAAGAUGGACGUAGCCAUUGAUCAUCCAAUUGAUUUGUGAAUUUUUUAUUUUUUUCCCCAUCUUGACUUUUUGAAACAAGAUCCACCAUUGAAGUGCGGCUCUGACUGAGAAACGAGGGGCACUGCGCACUGAUCCGAUAGUGACCUGUCAAUCAAAAGGUAGACCCGCCCUAAAGCAUUCCCCGUUGUAUCAUUCCUCUCGAGGCUAAUGAGAACCAUCAUUUACGAAAUUCAUUCAUGUUGCAUUCAAAAAGCCUUGAAAGUAUCGACUGAGCCCAUAAACUAAUCCGGAAAAUGUUUUCCGAGGUCUUGGAUGAAGUGACAAGUAGGGGUGUUAUUUUCCACACACAAACCGGAGGAGUCGCCCCCUAAUGGUCUUUAGAAAGAAUAUAAGUUUUCAGAUGCACUUUCGCAUUUACUUCACUUUUAAAAACCGUUUACAGUCAUGUGAAAAAGAGUUCUCACAGGAGUCUGUGCAGUUCUGUGAAAAAAUUAAGAACAACUUAACCACGUCCAAAGGAUUUCAGAGGUAGGGAGUUAGAUGUCCAGCGACAUCCAGCAGGAAAGAUAGGAUUUUUUUUAUAAGAUAAGAUGAACAAUUUUGGAAUAUGUCAAUUAACUAACUGAGCAUUUUUUUGGCUUACACUGUUUUCUGAAAACCGUAAGAAAUGACCAAAAGACGAUACUAAUAUUAAUGAGUGUUUUUAAGUUGUUUUUAAAUUUUAGGCACAAGAAUAUUGAUAAAACAUUAAUUUGUGCGUGAAAUGUUCAUAUACAAGGUUUAUGCAUAGAUGGGUCAAUGUCCUGUGGACAGACAAGAGUGAUGUGGAGAUGUUUGGCCAUAAUCCACAGCAACGUGUUUGGAGAAAACCAGACGCACAUCAGCACAAACACAGCAUACCAACUGUCAGCUAGGUGGAGGAUGGGUUAUUGAUUUGGGUUUGUUUCGCAGCCACAGGACCGGGGCACCUUGCAGUCACUGAGUAAGGUAUGCAUGAAGCCAUCUGUUUGACACUUCAAGCUUGGGCCACAAUUAGAUCAUGUAACAGGACUGUGAUUCCAAGCACAGCAGUAAAUCUACAAGACAAAGUCCAGACCUCAAUCUGAUUGUAAAGCUGUGGCAGGACCUUAAGAGAGCUGUGCACAACUGAAUGAUCAAUGAACUGAAGCAACUUUGUAAAGAAGAGUGGGCCAAAUUUCUCCACAACAAUGUGAGACAAAGUAACACACUGACAGAAGUCGUACAGAAAACAACAACUCAUGUUAUUGCUGCUAAAGGUGGACUUACAAGCUACUGAAUCACAUGGCUUAAUUAGAUUUUCACAGGAAGUCCAUAAAGGGGAUGUUUAUUUAAUUUAAAGGUUCUCUGUGCAACAUUAAAAAAAAAAAAAACCCCCAUCAAACGCAACGGUUUGUUUUUAUACUUUUUCAAAGCUGAAGACGCUGCACUUUGUGGCAACUUGCUCUCAGUUUCUGUCCUCUGAUAUCAAACAAUUGUUAAAAAAAAACAAACAAACAUGGAAACCAAGACAAUAACUGCAAUAUAAAUAAGAAAAAAAAACUGCACUGCCAUGCUUUCACAAAGAACAAGAGAAAAAUUCCCAGGAAGCAUUUUGCCUCCGGUGGUAAUCCACCAAACCAGAUGAAAGACCAAAGUCCAACCCUCACCACGUGUGACGCUGGAGCCGCAGAGGAGACAGCAGCAGGUUUGGUUACCACAGCAACUGUGCUUGUUUUAUAUGGCUUCCCCAGCUGCUGACUGGAGGA